rnacentral:rRNA from 1 species
GGGUUGUGAGGUUAAGCGACUAAGCGUACACGGUGGAUGCCCUGGCAGUCAGAGGCGAUGAAGGACGUGCUAAUCUGCGAAAAGCGUCGGUAAGGUGAUAUGAACCGUUAUAACCGGCGAUGUCCGAAUGGGGAAACCCAGUGCAAUUCGUUGCACUAUCGUUAACUGAAUACAUAGGUUAACGAGGCGAACCGGGGGAACUGAAACAUCUAAGUACCCCGAGGAAAAGAAAUCAACCGAGAUUCCCCCAGUAGCGGCGAGCGAACGGGGAGCAGCCCAGAGUCUGAAUCAGCUUGUGUGUUAGUGGAACGGUCUGGAAAGUCCGACGGUACAGGGUGAUAGUCCCGUACACCAAAAUGCACAGGUUGUGAACUCGAAGAGUAGGGCGGGACACGUGGUAUCCUGUCUGAAUAUGGGGGGACCAUCCUCCAAGGCUAAAUACUCCUGACUGACCGAUAGUGAACCAGUACCGUGAGGGAAAGGCGAAAAGAACCCCGGCGAGGGGAGUGAAAAAGAACCUGAAACCGUGUACGUACAAGCAGUGGGAGCACCUUCGGGUGUGACUGCGUACCUUUUGUAUAAUGGGUCAGCGACUUAUAUUCUGUAGCAAGGUUAACCGUAUAGGGGAGCCGCAGGGAAACCGAGUCUUAACUGGGCGUUAAGUUGCAGGGUAUAGACCCGAAACCCGGUGAUCUAGCCAUGGGCAGGUUGAAGGUUGGGUAACACUAACUGGAGGACCGAACCGACUAAUGUUGAAAAAUUAGCGGAUGACUUGUGGCUGGGGGUGAAAGGCCAAUCAAACCGGGAGAUAGCUGGUUCUCCCCGAAAGCUAUUUAGGUAGCGCCUCGUGAAUUCAUCUUCGGGGGUAGAGCACUGUUUCGGCUAGGGGGUCAUCCCGACUUACCAACCCGAUGCAAACUACGAAUACCGAAGAAUGUUAUCACGGGAGACACACGGCGGGUGCUAACGUCCGUCGUGAAGAGGGAAACAACCCAGACCGCCAGCUAAGGUCCCAAAGUCAUGGUUAAGUGGGAAACGAUGUGGGAAGGCACAGACAGCCAGGAUGUUGGCUUAGAAGCAGCCAUCAUUUAAAGAAAGCGUAAUAGCUCACUGGUCGAGUCGGCCUGCGCGGAAGAUGUAACGGGGCUAAACCAUGCACCGAAGCUGCGGCAGCGACACUAUGUGUUGUUGGGUAGGGGAGCGUUCUGUAAGCCUGCGAAGGUGACCUGUGAGGGUUGCUGGAGGUAUCAGAAGUGCGAAUGCUGACAUAAGUAACGAUAAAGCGGGUGAAAAGCCCGCUCGCCGGAAGACCAAGGGUUCCUGUCCAACGUUAAUCGGGGCAGGGUGAGUCGACCCCUAAGGCGAGGCCGAAAGGCGUAGUCGAUGGGAAACAGGUUAAUAUUCCUGUACUUGGUGUUACUGCGAAGGGGGACGGAGAAGGCUAUGUUAGCCGGGCGACGGUUGUCCCGGUUUAAGCAUGUAGGCUGAUUGUCCAGGCAAAUCCGGAUAAUCAAGGCUGAGGUGUGAUGACGAGGCACUACGGUGCUGAAGUAACAAAUGCCCUGCUUCCAGGAAAAGCCUCUAAGCAUCAGGUAACAUCAAAUCGUACCCCAAACCGACACAGGUGGUCAGGUAGAGAAUACCAAGGCGCUUGAGAGAACUCGGGUGAAGGAACUAGGCAAAAUGGUGCCGUAACUUCGGGAGAAGGCACGCUGGUGUGUAGGUGAAGCCCCUGCGGGUGGAGCUGAGACCAGUCGAAGAUACCAGCUGGCUGCAACUGUUUAUUAAAAACACAGCACUGUGCAAACACGAAAGUGGACGUAUACGGUGUGACGCCUGCCCGGUGCCGGAAGGUUAAUUGAUGGGGUUAUCCGUAAGGAGAAGCUCUUGAUCGAAGCCCCGGUAAACGGCGGCCGUAACUAUAACGGUCCUAAGGUAGCGAAAUUCCUUGUCGGGUAAGUUCCGACCUGCACGAAUGGCGUAAUGAUGGCCAGGCUGUCUCCACCCGAGACUCAGUGAAAUUGAACUCGCUGUGAAGAUGCAGUGUACCCGCGGCAAGACGGAAAGACCCCGUGAACCUUUACUAUAGCUUGACACUGAACAUUGAGCCUUGAUGUGUAGGAUAGGUGGGAGGCUUUGAAGCGUGGACGCCAGUCUGCGUGGAGCCAACCUUGAAAUACCACCCUUUAAUGUUUGAUGUUCUAACGUUGGCCCCUUACCGGGGUUGCGGACAGUGUCUGGUGGGUAGUUUGACUGGGGCGGUCUCCUCCCAAAGCGUAACGGAGGAGCACGAAGGUUAGCUAAUCCUGGUCGGACAUCAGGAGGUUAGUGCAAUGGCAUAAGCUAGCUUGACUGCGAGCGUGACGGCGCGAGCAGGUGCGAAAGCAGGUCAUAGUGAUCCGGUGGUUCUGAAUGGAAGGGCCAUCGCUCAACGGAUAAAAGGUACUCCGGGGAUAACAGGCUGAUACCGCCCAAGAGUUCAUAUCGACGGCGGUGUUUGGCACCUCGAUGUCGGCUCAUCACAUCCUGGGGCUGAAGUAGGUCCCAAGGGUAUGGCUGUUCGCCAUUUAAAGUGGUACGCGAGCUGGGUUUAGAACGUCGUGAGACAGUUCGGUCCCUAUCUGCCGUGGGCGCUGGAGAAUUGAGGGGGCUGCUCCUAGUACGAGAGGACCGGAGUGGACGCAUCACUGGUGUUCGGGUUGUCAUGCCAAUGGCACUGCCCGGUAGCUAAAUGCGGAAGAGAUAAGUGCUGAAAGCAUCUAAGCACGAAACUUGCCCCGAGAUGAGUUCUCCCUGAGACUUUAAGUCUCCUGAAGGAACGUUAAAGACGAUGACGUUGAUAGGCCGGGUGUGUAAGCGCAGCGAUGCGUUGAGCUAACCGGUACUAAUGAACCGUGAGGCUUAACCUUACAACGCCGAAG